rnacentral:rRNA from 1 species
UACGUAGGUGGCAAGCGUUGUCCGGAUUUACUGGGCGUAAAGAGCGCGCAGGCGGUCGUUCAAGUCGCGUGUGAAAGCCCCCGGCUCAACUGGGGAGGGUCACGCGAUACUGAUCGACUCGAAGGCAGGGGAGGGUAGUGGAAUUCCCGGUGCAGUGGUGAAAUGCGUAGAUAUCGGGAGGAACACCAGUGGCGAAGGCGACUACCUGGCCUGUUUCUUGACGCUGAGGCGCGGAAGCUAGGGGAGCAAACGGG